rnacentral:lncRNA from 1 species
CCCUUCUCCUCCAUUCAUUUAGUUAAAAUGAAUAAAAAUUUUUUUAGAAUAAUAAUUUUUUUGAUAUUUUUUCUGGUCACCAAGCAAAUUAUUGCUUUUAGAAUUAUUUUGUCUGGGUUGUUUUGAUAGGUUCUGGGUUGUACCGAUGGGUUCUAGACCGUCGGAUUUUGGACCGUGCUGGCAGAUUCUGGGUCAUGCCACUUUAUAAAAAAUAUUUCUUUUUUCUUUUUUUUAU